ensembl:snRNA U6 U6 spliceosomal RNA
GUGCUCACAUUAGCAGUACAUAUACUAAAAUUGAAAUGAUUCACAGAAGAUUAUUAGCAUGACCUCUGUGCAGGGAUGACAUGUAAAGUAUACAUUUCAUUGUUUUUU